AUGGCACUGCCCGGUAGCUAAAUGCGGAAGAGAUAAGUGCUGAAAGCAUCUAAGCACGAAACUUGCCCCGAGAUGAGUUCUCCCUGAGACUUUAAGUCUCCUGAAGGAACGUUGAAGACGACGACGUUGAUAGGCCGGGUGUGUAAGCGCAGCGAUGCGUUGAGCUAACCGGUACUAAUGAACCGUGAGGCUUAACCUU
rnacentral:rRNA from 1 species